CAAACGACUCUCGGCAACGGAUAUCUCGGCUCACGCAUCGAUGAAGAACGUAGCAAAAUGCGAUACUUGGUGUGAAUUGCAGAAUCCCGUGAACCAUCGAGUUUUUGAACGCAAGUUGCGCUCGAAGCCUUUUGGCUGAGGGCAYGCCUGCCUGGGCGUCACAC
rnacentral:rRNA from 1 species